UAGGGAAUCUUCCACAAUGGGCGCAAGCCUGAUGGAGCAACACCGCGUGAGUGAAGAAGGGUUUCGGCUCGUAAAACUCUGUUGUUGAAGAAGAACGUGCGUGAGAGUAACUGUUCAUGCAGUGACGGUAUUCAAUCAGAAAGUCACGGCUAACUACGUGCCAG
rnacentral:rRNA from 1 species